rnacentral:lncRNA from 1 species
AUGCCCUACUGCCUGUCUCGGGGCGGUGGGACAGCCGGCCCCAGCCCCGAGGGGAGACCCUCUAGCCCGGGUCCCGCGCCCUCCAGCCCCGAAAGCUCCGGUCCGCCGGCCCUCUGGGCAGCCCCGAGCCCGGGAGCUCGUCAGAGGCCACCUCCCCGAGCCCUGGAGUCCCCGCCGCAGCUCGCGCCCCAGAGGCCGGAGGGCACGGUCCCCUCUGCCCGUUCUCCGCGGGCCACAACUCACCGCGCGCCGGCGAGGACUCGGUGGCGCACCCGCCCGCGCCGGGGGCGCAGGGAGGCGGCGGCCGGAGGCUGGCUUUUCGCGGUGGCCGGAGCCCGGGCCGCGGCGGGCGGCUCGAACGCUGCGGUCCGAGCCCGGCGCGGGGCCGCCCGGAGUCCGGGACGCAGCGGGGAGGAGCAGGCGGCCGCCCGGCCCGAGACGCCUCCAAUCGCGCAGCGGUCUGCUGCUGCUCCGGCGAGAGCGAGCCAGCGAGCUAGGGAGCGGCGGGCAGCCCUGCUCCGUCCGCCGCGGAGCCCGACGUCCGAGCCGGAGGGAGAGAGGAGGCGGCUCCGGGGUGCGGGGUCUGGCCGAGGGCUCCGGGCUAGGAAGGGAGUGGAACGUGAGCCGAGCAGCGAGCUCAGCCGGCUGAGAUGCGGGCGCCCGGGGGCGCCGCGGCAGCCGCACGGCAGCAGGAAAAAAGGAGAGCGAGCUGGAGAGCGCGCUGGAGAGCGAGCGAGCGAGCAAGCGAGGAAGACGCCGAGAGGGGAAGCUGCGGGAGGGGGCGGGCGCCGGGAGCACGAGGGGGCGAGGGGACCGCAGCCGCUCAGCCCGGCGCCCACUCUGCUGCCGCCACACUCGGGAAGGCGCAAGCCCUGCCCGCCAAGUUUGCUCUGCAGGUGCGGCCGAGCGCGCGGCUUCCGCCGGCCUUUUAAAAAGAGAGCACCUGGGAGCCCACCACCGACCCCACACCUCCACCGCCGGAAGGCUGGGGCUUGCCCAGCUCCCCGCCACCCCUCCGCACCAGCCCCGCCUUCUGCUCCCCCUCUCACCACGCCCCACCGGCGUCCUCUCCUGGAAGCCCCCUUUUCCCCCCUCCCCCGGGGCGGAUGUCUGCUCCUCGACUCAGAGGACUUGGCAGGGACCCCUCCUGACCCCAAAGGUCGAGGGCCAAGGAACAUAGCAUCCCGACACACUCCCUGA